rnacentral:rRNA from 1 species
UACGUAGGGGGCAAGCGUUGUCCGGAUUCAUUGGGCGUAAAGAGCUCGUAGGCGGUUCAGUAAGUCGGGUGUGAAAUCUCCGUGCUCAACACGGAGCGGCCACCUGAUACUGCUGUGACUCGAGUCCGGUAGGGGAGUGUGGAAUUCCCGGUGUAGCGGUGAAAUGCGCAGAUAUCAGGAGGAACACCGGUGGCGAAGGCGGGUCUCUGGGCCGAUACUGACGCUGAGGGGCGAAAGCGUGGGGAGCGAACAGG